ensembl:lncRNA
GGAUCCCGGGAAGGCGGAGCCGGCAGCCUCUGUCCUCUGCAUGGGGCUCCCUGACCUCAGCUCGCAGGCCCGCCGGGAGCAGCCGGCCUCCCCGCCUCGCCUGUGGCCCCUGGCUCCUCGCAGUGAGGCCGGAGACCAGAGUUGGCCCAGGACCAUGCACGGUGCGCAGCACUGACCUGCCUGCUCCAGGAACUGUGGCGCCUCUGCCUGCCUCAGCCUCAGGCCCGGCCCGGAGAGCACCUCCCUCCUCUGCCUCCUCCCUCAGCCGCCACAGCCCGCAUGUCCGCGGCCCUCGCUUAGCUGCUCACCUGGACCCCCACCGGGAGGGAGUCGUGGGCUCCGCAGCUGCCCCGCACACCUGCCGCAGACUGGGGAGCCACAGGUGCGGGUGGAGCAGACCCGGAGCAGGGUGUGCGCGCUCGGGGCCCCACGGAGCCCCACAGGGAAACAGCAGUGGGGAUCGGGGUGCUCCCCGAGAUUGCUGACCCGGCGUCACUCGGACCCCAGGGCUGGGAGGAAGGCGGCUGAAGGGCGUGUGGGGUGGGCCUCGCUUAAUCAGUUGCAGGCUGGAGUAGAGCAAUGGGCUGCGCCUCUGCCGCGGGAGAGCGAAUGGGAGCGCGAAUGGCCUCCACUGCUUCAGACUCGACAAAGGAGGAAGGGGCCGGUGAAUGGAGCGGGGAACCCUGCGCUCGGGGCUGCAGCGUGCGAGCUGGGCCAGGCUUCACACUCUGCCCAUCGCCGUGACCGUGAGGGGACGCUGUCCGUGGUGGCGCCCUGCACGGUGCAGUGCCUGCGGCUGCGCCUGGCACCUUGGCCCUCUGCUCCCUGGGUGGCACCGCUUCAGCAGGAGCGAGGUCCACGGACCCUGGGGGCCUGGGGCUCAGUCUGCAGCCGGGCAGCUCGGAGUCAGAAGGAGGAGGCCUGAGGGGCUCUGUGGCCUCAAGGCCGAAGCCACAAGUCCCGAGCAAGUCUCGCUCCUCUCCUCCUGGUGUCACCGGGACCCUGGGGCUGGGAGGGCCAGCUGCGGGAAGCGGGGUCCGCGGAGGCGCUCCCUGGGGCCGGGGCUGGGCAGCUCCGGCCCUCUCCUCUCCUCGGCCCGGUGCUGAAGGGCACAGCCCCCUGCCAGGUGCUCCGGGAGCUCUUCGGGGGCAGACUCGCCCUGCUCUUCACCGUCCCCUCCCUGCACGAGGGGCCCCAUUUGCAUUCAGAGGGGAGAAGACAGAGCAGCAAGUUAGUUAUCGUGGGGCUGGAGCAGGACUCCAAAGGGCGUGGAGCUGGAGAGUUUCUGAGCGCUGUGCACCCGCUUAGGUUUGUCCUCAAAAGCAGAGCCGAAUGUGGUGGCGCAAGGCUGUAACCCCAGCACUCUGGGAGGCUGAGGCAGGAGAUGGCAAGUUGGAGCCCAGUUUGGGAAACUUAGCGAGAGAGAGAGAGAGAGAGAGAGAGAG